GCUGUACCGCACACAGACGCCUACGUUCCGACUUCGAGUUAUUGACUCGUUUUACCGAAACUCCGUCUGGCGAGUGUGACUUCCAUUUUUGUUUGUGAAUUUCAGUCUUUAUAACAUCAAUUAUUUUUCUAAUAAAUUAAUCUUAGGAACACUUGUUUUACAUUGUUGAUUUCAGUUGACUAUAUUACCGUUUUAUUUGCAUUACUUUUUCUGAUUUUGUUCGUAUUACGAGUUUCCUCAUCAAUCAUGGGAUCUGACGAACCAGAACAAUACAGAAAAUUAUUCAUUGGUGGCUUAAACUACACAACAACUAAUGAUUCACUCAAAGAAUUUUUUGAGCAAUGGGGUGAAAUUGUAGAUGUCGUUGUCAUGAAAGACCCUCAAACCAAAAGAUCUAGAGGAUUUGGAUUUAUUACAUAUUCUCAAUCAUCUAUGGUUGAUCAAGCCAUGUCAAACAGGCCUCAUAAAAUUGAUGGUCGUGAAGUGGAAACUAAACGAGCUGUACCGCGUGACGAUAUUGAUAAACCAGAUAUUGCAGCUACUGUAAAGAAAAUGUUUGUUUCUGGUAUAAAAGAACAAUCGGAAAAUGAUCUUCUUGAAUAUUUUGGAAAAUUCGGCAAUAUCACUAAUGUAACAAUAGUAACUGAUAAAGAUUCUGGUCAAAGAAAAGGAUUUGGAUUUAUUGAGUAUGAUGAUACCGAUUCAGUUGACAAAGCUGUUUUGAUAAAAAGUCACCAAGUUGCUGGAGGAAAAUUGGAUGUGAAAAAAGCUAUUAGUCGUAGUGAUGGCGCUGGUGGUGGCAGAGGUGGCCGUGGUGGUCGCGGAGGUGGUGGAGGAGGCGGUGGUAAUAGAAGUAGCUGGGGAGGAAAUCCACGAAACGAACAAUGGGGAGGACAUCAUAACAGAUCAAAUGGCGGCGGUGGAGGAUAUGGAAAUUCUGGAAUGGGAGGAGGAUAUGGCUCUGGCGGAGGCGGUGGUGGGUAUGGCGGUAGUGCAGGUGGUUACAAUUCUAAUUCUGGCGGAGCCUGGCAAGGCGGCGGUGGUGCUCCUCAAAGUUGGGGUAACAAUAAUCCAGCAUGGGGCAACCAAGGAGGUGGCGGUGAUAGUUGGGGAGGCUCACAACAACCUAGUAACAACUGGGGUCCAAAUCAAAGUUAUGGCGGUGGUGGUGGUGGCCCGAUGAGGUCAAAUUAUACCUCUAAUAAUCGUACUACACCUUAUGGAAACCCAGGAGCUGGUAAUGUAAAUGCAGGUAACGCUGGCUAUGGUCAAAAUCCUGGUCGACGGUAUUAACUCAUCACUUUCAACUAAAGGAAGGAAUCAUGACUGACCAUUGAUGAAUUUUACCAAGAAUGUUAAUAUUUUUGACGUUGAGCGCUGUUACUGAAAGAAAAUCUACAAGAUUUCCAAACAUAAUAUUGAUAUGGAAUAGUCACAUAUAGACUCGUACUGAAGUCUGAGUCCGAUACCGGUCGAUUGGUGGCAUUUGGAAAAUUACUUUGAAGUGAAGAUUUUUUUUUUUAAGAAGAACAAAUUGACUUGUUAAUUUUAAUUGAGAGUAAUAUAAAAACUUCUUUUUCAA
rnacentral:misc_RNA from 1 species